AUGUGACCUGGCUCUGCUGGGAAGUGUCUAGUGAGCCGCACAGCUGACUCAGACAGGUGCAUCUGGGGAGGCUGUGGUUGCUGUGUCUGUCCUCGAGUGCCUGCCCUCUUUGGAAAGUAAGGACAUCCUUCAUCACCCCAGGGCCCAGCUUAGCCUUGGAAAACAACUAGAUCUGUGGUCUGUGCUCAUUCUCUUCGGGGGCUAGCACAUUAGAACAAUAAGCUCCAUUUUCUCCUUCCAUCUUACAUUGAGACUGAGACUUCCCAGGAGAGCCUUGGACCUCUAGUGGCUUUCCCUAUAAACUUGGGGGCAGCACAUUGCUGUGUGGAAGAUGCCUCCUCUCUGAGGACUCCACUCAUGAGCCCUUCCUCCUCCUGUCAGCAUUUUCUGGACUCUACCAUAAGCUUCCCGCUUCUGUCCCCCUUGGUUCCUUAAUGUGGCUGAGCAUAGCCAAGUACUCGGCUCUGUCUCGGGAUCCUCAGGAAUUCCAUCAGCCUUGUGGGGUUCCUUUUUCCCUGCUCCUGGAGGCAAAUUAUAUGCAGCAAAACGUAGAACUAGUCUUGUGGAUUUUCUUUGGUGGAGGAGCAUACACCAAUGGUUCCAUGUAAAGGCUCCAGAAUCAGAACUGGAGUCACACCUUGGUGUCACCCCUUCCUGCUGAGCCUGUCUCCCCAGGAGUGAAAUGAGGGUAAUAUUCCUCCUACAAAGGGUGCGGUGGUGGGGGGUUUACAUGAGGUGGGCGCAUCUGUACAAACGUGUUUAUCAUUGCCAGCUACUUUUUUUUUUUUUUAAUAGAGACGGGAUCUCACUAUGUUGCCCAGGCCAGUUUUGAACUCCUGAGCUCAAGUGAUCCUCCUACCUCGGCCUCCCAAAGUGCUAGGAUUACAGAUGUGAGCCAGCACACCUGGCCACCAGCUGCUUUCAUGCAGGUGUUAGAUAUGCUCUCCUAACAGUGGAACGCGGUUCGAUCCCUUCUCCUCACAUACACAGUCAUAAAUGAGUCGUCAGAGUUACCCCAAAGGGAAAUGGUGACAUCUCCCUACAGAGAAAACUAGCACAGAACUUAUGGGCCUCAUUGAACAGUUACGUGGGUUGGUUGGACAGAAAAAUGUUGGUUCAAUUUUCAGAUACUAGGGAGAGCUUAUUUCAGGAGUCCCUUUUCUUACUUUGUUGAGGGGAGGCAUCAGAGCACAUGCUGGGAGGAUAGGCCAGGAAGCAGGCAGUGGUAACGUGGGACAUCGUGCACGUGGUGGAGCAUGCCGCCAUCUCUCCCUUCACCCUGGCAGAGCUCUCCGUUGAACGGGGAGGUGAACUUGGACAUGGACAACAACCAGCCUGUGUCAAGGGGGUUUCCUUACCAGGACUCCUUUCUAGUUUCCUUUCACCUACAAUGUGGUCAUGGGGCAAAAACCCCAGAGACCACAUAUGUAUUGGUGGAAAGAGAAAGAACAGGACUGUGGAGCCAAAGCUACCUCACUAGCUUUUGUGAAACUCAGGCUGGAAAGUGCUUCCAGCCACAGAAAUAGGCUGUGGGUGUAAAUAUUAACCUUGGCCAUCAAAUAAGUAGGCAUAGAGUGUGACUCGCCCUCUCUUGGUCUUCCCUGAAACAGCAGGGUCAAGAACUCCUGGUCUGUGUUAGCCACGUGGCUUACAAAAACAAUGACACAGAAGAGGGAAAGGUGGGACUAGCCAAGCGGAAGGCCAGCCGUUUAUCUCUCAGUGUCCUGUGUCUUAUAUCCUGAGCAGAGCAAGGUGCAAGACCCUGGACUGGGCAUCCAGCAGAAACUUCCGAGAAACUUGACUGUGAGGAAGGAUGCUUGCCUAGCAAUUGGUCGGAUGAAGGGCUCCAUUUGAUACUUCCUUCACUGUGGAAGGAAGAAAUUUGUAAAAAUUAUUUCCAGAAUAUGCACACAUUAAAGGUUUAUAAACCUGACCUUUCUUUAGUAGAAGACAGUAAGAGAAUACUGUUGGCUCUGGGCACUAACCAUUUGAGCUGUGGGACCCAGGGAAUCUCUCUCGUAAGCAUCAUCUUUAGUGGGUGACUCCUGGUGGCCCUCCCAGCUCUGGUGGUGCUGUGGGGACCUGCCUUGGAGAUGCCUUGGUACUAGUACCUUUUUUGUACCAGGCCAUGAGCCUAGGACACAGGGCCUCUGGCCUGCAGAUUUCAGGAAGGCAGCUGUGUUGUGUGAACCGAUACAGCCUGCCAGCACUUCUGUCCCGAGUGACUGUCGUUGUCAUCGUUAGCAUGUUGCCUGAAAAGCCUUGGGGUCUGGGCGCUGACACUGAAGAUUUUUUUUCCCUUCUGGCUCUGUGAUGUCCAGCAUUACCCAGAACGCCAUGGAGGACCAGAGCGCCACGGCCGGGACUCCCGCGAUGGCUGGGGGGGCUAUGGCUCUGACAAGAGGAUGAGCGAGGGCCGGGGGCUGCCUCCUCCCCCCAGGUUUGUGUCCCACACCCCACAGUACCUGACCCCCCCCCCCCACAAGGGGGCCCGCAAGUCGCUGGGAUGUGGGCACAGGGUGGGAAACACAGAGGGAUUCACUCUCCAGAAGCCGCCACAGUUAUUAGCAAAAGAGCCAGAGAUGGGGGCAAUCCAAAUCAGAGAUGUCUCUCUUUCAAGGGGCAGACGUGACUGGGGGGACCAUGGCCGAAGAGAGGAUGACCGGUCAUGGCAGGGCACGGCCGACGGGGGCAUGAUGGACAGGGAUCACAAGAGGUGGCAAGGUGAGGAGCAGCUCUGGGCUGGGACCAGGAUGUGCUGGGGAGUGAUGGAAAGAUGGAGGCCGCGCCUUCUCUCCUUGGGGGAGCACAGGAGGUGCUCUGCUCUCAGUGCUGGAAUGAGGAAUGAAGAGCACUCCAGACACCGCCUGCUCUCUGGUGGUCUGGCCCAGGAGUUGGACAGUGGGCGUUCCCAAGUUCUCUCUGCUGGGAGGAAGCUGGACGUCUAUGGUCCCUGUGCCCAGGUGUCCUCCUGGGACCCGCUAGUUGUGGGUACCUGGGGGCCUCACCAAAGGGAGUGGAGUGGGCUAAAUGUGCCGUGGGUUCCACGCCGUGUGCGCAGGUUCCCAGUGUGAAAGCACGUCUGUCUUCCAGGUGGCGAGAGAAGCAUGUCCGGUCACUCCGGGCCUGGCCACAUGAUGAACCGAGGAGGAAUGUCAGGGCGCGGCAGCUUUGCCCCAGGCGGGGCCUCCCGGGGCCACCCCAUCCCACACGGUGGCAUGCAGGGCGGGUUUGGAGGCCAGAGCCGGGGGAGCAGGCCCAGCGAUGCCCGCUUCACUCGCCGCUACUGAGUACUUGGAAUCCUGUGUCCUGUCACGUGGCAACAAGGCUAUGUUCUGUUAGGAGUUACCUUAAACUGUGUAAAAAUAUUUUUUUUUAAUCUGCUGCCAUAUUGUAGCUCAAUACAAUGUGAAUUUGUUUUUCGUUUUGGGGUUUUUUUUUUUGUAAUAAAUGUGUUUCCGUUCACAUA
rnacentral:sRNA from 1 species